GUUGGUGGGCUCCAGUACUUGACGAUCACGCGACCAGACAUUUCCUAUGUUGUUAACCGAGUCUGCCAGUAUCUGCAGUCACCCUGUGACACUCAUUGGUCUGCUGUUAAGCGGAUUUUGCGCUAUAUUCGUUUCACGGUGGCUCAUGGUUUGCAUAUUCGGCCGUCUGACUCUGGUUGUCUUUCAGCUUAUUCUGAUGCAGACUGGGCUGGCAAUCCGGAUGACAGGCGAUCCACGGGGGGUUAUGCUGUCUUCUUUGGCUCUAACCUGAUUGCAUUGAGUGCUCGGAAACAUGCUACUGUCUCGCGUAGCAGUACUGAGGCUGAGUAUAAGGCUGUGGCCAAUGCCACAUCAGAGAUUAUCUGGGUACAGUCCUUGCUUCAGGAGUUAAGUAUACCCCAAUCACAACCUCCUGUUCUUUGGUGUGAUAACAUCGGUGCUACAUACCUUUCUGCAAAUCCGGUAUUCCAUGCCCGAACGAAACACAUUGAAGUUGACUAUCACUUUGUGCGUGAACGUGUCUCUCAGAAGCAACUACAGAUCAAGUUUAUUUCUUCCAAGGAUCAACUUGCUGACAUCUUCACCAAGCCAUUGCCUUUGCCA
rnacentral:rRNA from 1 species